AAACUGAAGAUGGCGACCGGCGCACGGGUGAGUAACACGUAUCCAACCUGCCGAUAACUCUGGAAUAGCCUUUCGAAAGAAAGAUUAAUACCGGAUAGUAUACGAAUAUCGCAUGAUAUUUUUUAUUUAAAGAAUUUCGGUUAUCGAUGGGGAUGCGUUCCAUUAGUUUGUUGGCGGGUAACGGCCCACCAAGACUACGAUGGAUAGGGGUUCUGAGAGGAAGGUCCCCCACAUUGGAACUGAGACACGGUCCAAACUCCUACGGGAGGCAGCAUG
rnacentral:rRNA from 1 species